UACCAGCUGUAUAUAUCAUCUGUGGCUUUUGCAGAUCUCAGGGAAUUUUCUAAAUGAAGCUGAGCAUCAUUCUCUAGAGGGAGAAGUUGAGGAGUGAAGUACUGUAGUAAGUUAGUAGAAAAUUCAGGUCUCAUCUUAAGUGGACACAGUGGAACAUAGAAGAGGCCAUGCUAAUUAAACAUCAUUCAUAGGAAUAAGUGGAACUGGAAGAAAAUGCUGCUGCCUCCUUAGGCAAAACUUUUGGAGGAUUGAGGUGGCAAGUUAUCUGGUCAUAGAAGGAGACGAGAUUGGUAAGACGAGACCUACCUGCAAUGAAGCUGUGCUGGCCGUCAUUCAGAACCCUAUCUUCUACAAGCAUAUUAGGGCUGUGUGAAAGUUUGCCCGGUGUUUCAUUUCAAAGCUGUUUCGAAGUGUCUCAAGCUUGAAACAAUGAAAUCAAAAUAAAACAAAAGCCUUCAAAACAGCUUCAAAACAAAACAAGGGAGCUUGAAACAUUUCAAACCAUUCAAAAUGUUUCAAGUUUCAAAGCCAGGCUUACUGGCUUCAGUGCUGGUUCCAGCCGGCAGCACCCAGCUCCUGUCAGCUGGCAGGCAGAUCGGGGGCUCAUGCGCACCCCCAAGAGGGCUGCCGGGUCUGUGCUGGAGUCCUUCCAGGGGUCCAGGCAGGGGGAGGCCCUCCAUGUGCUUGGUGGUGAAGUACUUCCGGUCCAUUUACAGGUUUGCUGGGGAGCAUGCAGGGGAGCCCUCCCUGUGCCCCCCUGGCUUGGCGAUCAGCUGCAGGGCGACCCUGGGUGCCCCCCCAACCCCCGCCAGACCCAGGAGGCACCAGUCGCCAAGCCGAGAGGGUGUGGGGGUGGGGGUAGUACACUCCCCAGCAGACCCGGAAGUGGACCAGAAGUGCUUCUGGUCCACUUAUGGGCCUGCAGCUGAGUGCACUGGGGAGCCCCCCAUGCUUCUGUGGGACAUUCCAUGUGCCCCAGCAUCGCAGCACUCAUGAGCCCCUGCUACCUAGAGGUAAGUAGAAAAAAAAUGUAAAGCUGUCUCUAUGUCUGAAUCUCCAAAUCUCUCCGAAUCUCUCUGAAUUGAUUUGGAGGGUUCCAAUUUGAUUUGGAGAGAUUAAAUGGCCUUCUGAUUCAAUUCGGAUUUGGAGACUCAGCCACCAAAUUGGGCCAAAUCUCUAACCAAUCAAAUUAGGGACCGAAGCUUCUCACAUUCCUAGUAGACACUGUGCUUGGGAGCAGUUGACUCUGGCUCUAACUGCUCCAGAGUUUAUUGGUGUGCAUUAAUGGCACACAUAAAUGCAGCCAAAUAUGUUUAUAUGUUUGAGAGGGGAGUGAAUACAUCCACUAGCCGUUUUUCAAAUCCAGCUGCUUCUUGCAAAUUUGAUUUGUUCCAGCUAUGCCUUCCAAUUGACUCCUUACUAAGAGAAGUCUGCUUGGAUCUGCCCCCAGUGGAUGACUUAUUUCAUGACUCUUGAGGCCAAAAUUCUAACUAUAUCCAGUAAAGACAGUCCCUGCUAUUUAGUAAUGAGUGCUGUCAUUUUUCCAAAUGAAAUCUUUUGAGAUUUUUUUUCAUCCCACACAGCUAUUUUGCAAAGAAUUAUUUUUUAGCUGCUGGUGAUUACUGUUUCUUUUCCUUUUGUUUAUCAUUUCCUUGCAGUUAUGUAGCUGGAUUUGUUCCUAGUUGGAAGGCCUAUGUACAUGGUAAUCAGGGGUUGGGAGUUUUAAUGAAAAAAAAGAAAUUUCUAUCAGUUUCUAAAAUUCUAUUAGAAACCAAGUCACAAUAUUGAAUUAAAAAAAAAUCCGGGGGAAAUAGUAAAAUGAAAAACUGGCCUGUAGCAAAACCAGUGAAAACAAAAGAAACCUUCAAUUCACACAAACAUUAUUUUUUCUCAUUUCCUCUGUUUUUAUGUUUAUUUCAGCUGGUAGGACUUAACUGCAUGUUUUUGUGCAUUAGUCCUGCACUGUUAUCACUGAAAUA